CCUAUACAAUCAUGAAAAUUCCACUACCUUCCGAAACGUGACAGCAACACAAGAUAAUAGUUAACAGAUACUAACCAAAAAUGAAUUUAACCUUCCGACUUUCUGAGUUUCGGCUUUGAGGUCCUUUUUUCCAUUCACCGCCAAAGCGAAGGGCCACGUAUUCUCUCCCUCUCUCUAUGUGGUUGCAUAAAGAAUACGCCCACAUAUCCACAGUCACGAAGGAGCUGAACUGAACUGCUGAGGCGUGAGAAUUCUGCUGUUUGAAUAUGGAAGCUACAAGUUUGAAGAGAAUCAAACAUGGUUUUACUGAGAUCGUCAACCGAGAAAUGGGUCUCUCUUCCUCCAAAAGCUUUUCUCGCCAUUUCUCUGCUUCUGAGGUUCUAGUAGAAAAAAUCAACCUUUAUGGUGAGCUAAAUGGCCAUGAGGGCUGCGUGAACACUGUUGUGUUCAACUCUACUGGUGACCUCCUGGUAUCAGGUUCUGAUGACAAACAUGUUAUGGUAUGGAACUGGGCAACUAAAUGCAAAAUACUUUCAUAUGCUUCUGGCCACUUAGACAACAUAUUUCAGGCCCGAGUUAUGCCCUUCACAGAUGAUAAAAGAAUAGUCACUUCUUCUGCUGAUGGCCAGGUGAGGCUUGGAGAGAUUUCAGAGAAUGGUCAAGUCAGAACAAGAAGGCUGGGGAAGCACCAAGGUCGUGUGCACAAUCUUGCUGUGGAGCCAGGAAGUCCCCACAUAUUCUAUAGCUGUGGUGAAGAUGGCUUAGUACAACAUUUUGAUCUGCGAAGUAGUUCUGCCACAAAGCUAUUCCAAUGCUUCUCAUACAGUAACAGGGAGCCUUUAAACUUAAGGUUAAAUGCCAUUGUAUUUGAUCCAAGGAAUUCAAAUUACUUUGCCAUAGGAGGUUCUGAUGAAUAUGCACGUGUCUAUGAUAUCAGAAGAUGUCAGUUAGAUGCAUCUAAUAUUUCAGAUACACCAGUGAACAUAUUUUGCCCUCGUCAGCUAGUUAACUUUAAACAUGUGCAUAUCACAGGAUUAACUUAUUCUAACACAAGUGAACUACUUGUCUCUUACAACGAUGAGCUGAUUUAUUUAUUCCAAAAGAACAUGGGGCUGGGUCCCUCCCCAUUAUCUCUCCAAUCUGAAGCUCUGCAGAGACUUGAGGAGCCACAAGUUUAUGUGGGUCAUAGGAAUUCACGGACAGUCAAAGGAGUGAGUUUUUUUGGCCCCAAAGAUGAAUAUGUGAUGAGUGGUUCUGAUUGUGGGCAUAUAUUUAUUUGGAAGAAGAAGGGCGCUAAGCUUGUUAGAUUAAUGGUAGGUGAUGGACAUAUAGUAAAUCAUCUUGAGCCGCAUCCAUAUAUGCCUUCUUUUGCUACUUGUGGAAUUGAUAAGAAUGUGAAGCUCUGGGCUCCCAUGGUCAGUGAUGCUCCUGCACUGCCUAAAAACCUGGAGAAGAUUAUGGAGUCUAAUAGGCAGAAUAGAGAAGACCAGUCACGGGUAAGCCUCACACCUGAUGUUAUAAUGCAUGUUCUCCGCCUACAGAGGCGGCAAAUGUUUGGAUAUGUUGAAAGGAGGUACAAUAGGGCUGAUCUAGACAGUGAUGAAGAAGAUGGAGGGGAAGAUUACUUUUCAGGGCUCUCAAAUGACAAUGUCUCUUCUGAAGAGGAUCCUGCAGACAGCUCAGGAGAGUGCAAAAUCAGCUAAAGUCUUGUAAUUUAGAAAUGAGAAAGCGAAAAUUCCUUGCCUUUUGAUGAAUGCUAAUAAUAAUGAGAAUAAAUCAGAACUCUCAAAGCCAAGAUUAGAGCCACAUCAAAUGAAGAGGAAGAAGAAAGGUGGAGGUUAUAAUUUGAGAAAAAGCUUAGCUUGGGAUAGCGCUUUUUCCACUGAAGAAGGUGUUUUGAAUUCGACCGAAUUAUCUUUGAUUAAUCAGAAUUUUGGUAAGUUGAGCGGGGACAAAUUGUCAGUUAUAGAAGAAGACACGACAGACUAUUAUCCGGUGAUUCCCUAGAUUUGAAGGCACUUGAGAAUAAUUUGUUCAAAGAGUUGCCUUUAAAUGAUAGUAGUAAUAAGAAAGAGGAGAAGAUUGGUCGUAGCUUACUGCGGAAGAGUUCCAGUUCAGCCCCAUGUUCCACGGUGAAACAAAAUUUUGUUUCAGUUCUUGGUUUUAAUAGAAGUGGUUAUAAGCGAAGUGGUUGUUCAGGGCCCGUUGCCUCAUCUGCAUAUCCUUUUUUAGUUAUUUGUUUUAUUGAAUUGUUACAAAGUUGUGGCUUGUUUUGGUGAAAGCUUACAUGAUUUGCUCCUUUAUUUGUAUAUGGCUUUAUAGAAGAGUUUACCUUAUCUUUUUGAAAUCUUAAAAGACCUGCAAAUGUGAGUACAACAAAAGCAACUGUUAAGGAGCCAAAAGUUUCUAAAAUACCUGCCCUAGCUAGAUUCCUCGGUCCUUCCUACGACUGUCAAGAGUGCUCCAAACAUAAAUAAACCAAAGCAAAAUCAGAGUGCUUAAACAGUCAAUGCGCACUGAAGCACUGAAUUGACGGGUUCCAACAGAAGUACUAAAAGUAUUCAAAAUGAUGCAAAAUCUAGUGUUUCUGGUAGAUCUCAAAUCACAAAACCCUUUACUCAACUGGCUGAAAGUAAUGUGGGAAGCUCAGCAUUUACAAGUCAUUCAUCAACCUAUUCACAGCAUCCAUUAGUUACUAAGGCAGAUAAUGGCUUAAAGGUCAGCCAAGAGCCUGUUAUGGCUACUGGUCAUGAAUCUAUUAAUCAUGAAGCUCAUUUGCAUCAAUGAAAUUUUUUGCUCAGUCAAAGACUAAUGCUGCAAAUAAUCUACAGAGCAGCAGUCAACCAUGCAAUAAUCCAAAGUCCAAUAUUCCUAAUUUUUGGAAGCUUGGUGUCUUAAAUUCUAUCUAUGAGAGCCCC